UGGGGAUUAUUGGACAAUGGGCGAAAGCCUGAUCCAGCCAUGCCGCGUGUGUGAAGAAGGUCUUCGGAUUGUAAAGCACUUUAAGUUGGGAGGAAGGGCAGUAAGCGAAUACCUUGCUGUUUUGACGUUACCGACAGAAUAAGCACCGGCUAACUCUGUGCCAGCAGCCGCGGUAAUACAGAGGGUGCAAGCGUUAAUCGGAAUUACUGGGCGUAAAACGCGCGUAGGUGGUUCGUUAAGUUGAAUGUGAAAGCCCCGGGCUCAACCUGGGAACUGCAUCCAAAACUGGCGAGCUAGAGUAGGGCAGAGGGUGGUGGAAUUUCCUGGGUAGCGGUGAAAUGCGUAGAUAUAGGAAGGAACACCAGUGGCGAAGGCGACCACCUGGGCUCAUACUGACACUGAGGUGCGAAAGCGUGGGGAGCAAACAGG
rnacentral:rRNA from 1 species